GAUGAAGAACGUAGCGAAAUGCGAUAAGUAAUGUGAAUUGCAGAAUUCAGUGAAUCAUCGAAUCUUUGAACGCACAUUGCGCCCGCCAGUAUUCUGGCGGGCAUGCCUGUUCGAGCGUCAUUUCAACCAUCAAGCCCCCGGCUUGUGUUGGGGACCUGCGGCUGCCGCAGGCCCUGAAAAGCAGUGGCGGGCUCGCUGUCACACCGAGCGUAGUAGCAUACAUCUCGCUCUGGGCGUGCUGCGGGUUCCGGCCGUUAAACCACCUUCAUAACCCAAGGUUGACCUCGGAUCAGGUAGGAAGACCCGCUGAACUUAAGCAUAUCAUUAAGCGGAGGA
rnacentral:misc_RNA from 1 species